UGCGUAGGUGGUUAGGUAAGACCUGUGGGAAAGACCUGGGCUUAACCCAGGAAGGUCGCAGGUGACUGCCUGGCUAGAGGGCGGGAGAGGAGCGCGGAAUUCCCGGUGUAGCGGUGAAAUGCGUAGAGAUCGGGAGGAAGGCCGGUGGCGAAGGCGGCGCUCUGGAACGUUCCUGACACUGAGGCACGAAAGCGUGGGGAGCAAACAGGAUUAGAUACCCUGGUAGUCCACGCCCUAAACGAUGGGUACUAAGUGUCGGCGGGUUACCGCCGGCGCCGCACCCUAACGGAGUAAGUACCCCGCCUGGGGAGUACGGCCGCAAGGUUGAA
rnacentral:rRNA from 1 species